UUUAGGGUGCAUAACGGUAAACGGCCUAAUUAGAUGGCGCAAAAUUGCAAUUGCCCAAAUCCUUCAUUGGAUCUCCGGGAUCCGAAUACGAACAUACUGUUAUUGAAAUUUGAAAGAGCUAAUAAUUAAAAACAAAAACUAAAAGGAGGAGUGGCAGCGAGAUGAACCCUGGCCUGACGGCGGAGGCGGCGGCGCAGCUGCAAGAGGGAAUUAAUUUGGUGAUUUCACGAUGGGCUGCUCUUCGGAUGGCCGUUGCGAAUGAGUGGGGCGGUCGUGACUCUCUCCAGAAAUCCCAACAGCUCGGGCAUCAUCUUUUCCAUCGCCUUACCCAAUCUAAAGAUUGCAGAAAUGUUUAGAAGGUAAUUUUGACUCUAUAAAGAGGUUAAAGGAAACAAAUGCUCCAAAUGUCUCUUAUAACAGACAGGCUGGCAGCAAUGAUGAUGACGAAGAUGACAACAGUGACAAUACAGGAGAGCAUGACUCACUGGAAACAGAAAUGGAAGUUGAUGCUCCAGAAUGCCAAUUAAGUCUCAAUCAACAGGGCAGUACGGCCAAUGAGCCUAGCCUGAAACAAGCACCUGAAGUAGUAGAUGGGUGGACUGUUGUAGCCUCCAGACAUAGUAGAGGUAGACGGAACUAAGUUUUUAUACGAUAGAUCCCCUUACCCCUUUCUGGUUUUGAGGGUUUUAUCGUUAGUUUAUUUCCCCCCGUUUGUGUCAACCGAAGAAAAGAAGUCGAACCUCCUCAGUCAACAGAAUAUUACAUUGCUGUGGUGAACUCACUGUUUUCUCUAGUGAGUGAUUCUGCAUUCUCUGGCACUAUAGGAGUGUUUGCAAGCACCUUCAACUUCAAAAAGUGCUUAGCUUCCAAGAACUGUUAUUGGCUUUGUGAGUCCACCCGAUAAGAUUCUAGAUCCACAUGAUUGGAUUCCUACUUGUAUAUCAUAGGAUCCUGUGGGAUUGUGGAUCCAAAAAGGAGACAAAAAUAACAUUUGCAAAUAGAGUAUCACAAUCUGGAUGCAAGUCGGGUUUAUUUUUAUCCA